CAGGAUGACGGUCCUAUGGAUUGUAAACUGCUUUUGUACAGGAAGAAACCUCCCUACGAGUAGGGACUUGACGGUACUGUAAGAAUAAGGAUCGGCUAACUCCGUGCCAGCAGCCGCGGUAAUACGGAGGAUCCGAGCGUUAUCCGGAAUUAUUGGGUUUAAAGGGUUCGUAGGCGGUUUUGUAAGUCAGUGGUGAAAUUUCCUAGCUUAACUAGGACACUGCCAUUGAUACUGCAGAGCUUGAAUAAUAUGGAAGUAACUAGAAUAUGUAGUGUAGCGGUGAAAUGCUUAGAUAUUACAUGGAAUACCAAUUGCGAAGGCAGGUUACUACGUAUUUAUUGACGCUGAUGAACGAAAGCGUGGGGAGCGAACAGGAUUAGAUACCCUGGUAGUCC
rnacentral:rRNA from 1 species